UAACAGUAUGUGCAAGAGAGAAUACUUGCUUAUGUGAGAGAGUUUGAUUGAAACGGAAGGCAGUUUGAUUGAAAAGGAAAUAGUACUAAAUUCUCAGUUCCUGAUUGGCUUAUACAUGAAGAAGAAUAGUUAACGGCCCACCUUCCCUUUCAAGACGAGACAUGACAUGACAAGAUGGCAGACAGCGGACGGCUUAAUGAAGCCAUUGGACUCAUUAAUAACUUUUUGAAUACUCCAAAUGCUGUGACGUCAUUGUCAGAAAUGUUGGAUCAACAACGACAGCCAUCCACAGGGGCUAUUUCUAACGCUAACGUUGACGAUGAAAUGCGCCGGCUCUUCAGACCUGGAUCAGGUGCAUCAACGAGCGGCAGCAGUAGUACUCUGCCAGGAGCUAGUCUUAAUGCUAGCCAAGUGAUGCAACCCCGAUAUCAAACUCAGCAGUAUUUCGGUGGAUGGACUUCAAAGUCAAGGAAGAGGUCUACUACCCAGAAUCACCCUACCUUCAACAAGGAUGUUGUAUUGUUACCUCAUCCAGCAUGGAGUGAAGUUUGCAAGCAUAAAACCAGAAGAAGGCUUCAUGAAAGUGGCUGUAUUUUAAGUGCCUUUGAAAUGAGAAAAAUGUGGGACUGCAGGACGGUUAUUGCAGAGAUUAGGGAAGCAUUCAAGGACAGAAUUCCUGAGGAUGUCGGUAUUGAACUUUUGAUGCCAUGUGGAAACAAAUUGGUUUCACCGAAGUUGCGCGAAGGACAGGAACUGAAUGGCUUUAUGAUUCACAAAGUAUUCAGAUCAAAGGCUGUGUACAUUAGACAAUCAACCAUCCUUCCAGUUCCUGUAAGCUUUAAACAAAUAAUAAUUGUAAAGAGGAGAUUUUUGCUCGGUUUGGAGCGCACAGUUUUCAUGGUUUGGUCAAUUUGUUU